CAAGUAGAACGGGCGUAACAAUAAGUAAGCGGCAGAGGGGUGAGUAACGCGUGGGAGCGUAGUUUUUGGUUCGGAACAACACAGGGAAACUUGUGUUAAUACCGGAUAAGCCCUUACGGGGAAAGAUUUAACGUUGAAAAGAACGGCUCGCGUCUGAUUAGCUAGUUGGUAGGGUAAUGGCCUACCAAGGUGAACAUCAGUAGCUGGUCUGAGAGGAUGAUCAGUUACAUAGGGACUGAGACACGGCUUAAACUCCUACGGGAGGCAGCAGUGGGGAAUAUUGGACAAUGGGGGCAACCCUGAUCCAGCUAUGCCGCGUAAGUGAUGAAGGCCCUAGGGUUGUAAAGCUCUUUUGUGCGGGAAGGUAAUGACGGUACCGCAAGAAUAAGUUCCGGCUAACUUCGUGCUAGCAGCUGCGGUAAUACGAAGGGGGCUAGCGUUGCUCGGAAUUACUGGGCGUAAAGGGUGCGUAGGCGGGUUUUUAAGUUAGGGGUGAAAUCCUGGAGCUCAACUUCAGAACUGCCUUUGAUACUGAAGAUCUUGAGUUCCGGAGAGGUGAGUGGAACUGCGAGUGUAGAGGUGAAAUUCGUAGAUAUUCGCAAGAACACCAGUGGCGAAGGCGGCUCACUGGCCCGGUACUGACGCUGAGGCACGAAAGCGUGGGGAGCAAACAGGAUUAGAUACCCUGGUAGUCCACGCCGUAAACGAUGAAUGCCAGCCGUUAGUGGGUUUACUCACUAGUGGCGCACCUAACGCUUUAAGCAUUCCGCCCGGGGAAUACCGUCGCAAGAUUAAAACUCCAAGGAAUUGACGGGGGCCCGCACAAGCGGUGGAGCAAGUGGUUUAAUUCGACGCAACGCGCAGAACCUUACCAGCCCUUGACAUGUCCAGGACCGGUCGCAAAGAUGUGACCCUCUCUUCGGAGCCUGGAACACAGGUGCUGCAUGGCUGUCGUCACCUCGUGUCCUGAAAUGUUGGGUUAAUUCCCCCAACGAGCGCAACCCCCCUCCUUAGUUGCUACCAUUUAUUUUAACACUCUAAGAAAACUGCCGGUUAUAAGCCGCGAGAAAAGUGGGGAUUACAUCCAAUCCUCAUGGCCCUUCCCGGCUGGGCUACCCCCCUCCUUCAAUGGCGGUUACAAUGGGAUGCUAAGGGGCGACCCUUC
rnacentral:rRNA from 1 species